UCGGCUGUCACUGCAGUUGCUGCUUCAUGCACAAGCAUUAUGUAAUCAUAACCUGCUGUGCGUAAAACAGCGACCUUUGUGGGAGGUAGAAAUCAUAGU
rnacentral:pre_miRNA from 1 species